CGGACCACAGCCUGCACGCCGUGAGGCUGCAUGAGGCGCUCGGACAGCAGCUGACCACACAGCCGCCGCAGCCAAGCGGGCGCCGAUGCCAGACCUGCCCUGCUGCCGGAGGAGCUCCCGAGCCGAGCCACCUGUUUGGGUCCACCUUGGAGGAUCAGAAGCUCCUUGAUGACGAUCGGUUGGUAAACUUUUUCCAGGAGACUCCUGAGGGCCGCUUUACAGGCACGACAUUCGUCAACGUUCAGCCACUGAGGGGAACGCAUAAAAAAGGGGUGGAGCCUCCUGGCGGAUCAGUUUUUCAACUACGGCUCCAAACGCGGACCUGUGGCCCAGCGGCACGCCCACGCCUGGCGCAAGGAAAGGACAGAGCCCCAAAGACACCACGAACUGCAGAGCGGUGCUGAGGGUCUUCUGCUGCGCUACACUGAGGACAUCAGGGGGGAGAGGCGGAGCCAUUUCAGCCGUACGAAGUCUGGCUGUGGAUGGAGGCGGAGCCUGCUGGAAGCGCUCGAGCUCCAUCGUCAUGUGACGCGUGAGCGUGAGGAGCAGCAGGAGACACUCCUGAACAAAGCUCCAUGUGGCGUCUUCUGAGUCGCUGCAGAACCACUCUGCUGACCGGGCCACCUCCUCCCUCAGCCUCUGCACCUCCUCAAAGCUGCUGUCGCUCUGGAGCCGCUCCAGUAGCAGAGCCCUGUUGGCCUCCAAAGCGGCCUGGAGCGCCACCUGCUGGGAGGUCUGAGCAUUGACUUCUGCAGACACAAACAGAAAAGAAGGUGUAAAUCCAUCCUUUAAUAGGUAUUUGAAAAUUCUGCAGAAGACUGAUGAGUUUUUUUUUUUGCUUUAAAUAUUAAAAUUGUUUAUAAAAGUUGAAUUUCCCAGAUGAAGUAUGUGUAAAACUUAAUUCAAAAUUAAUACUCUCUGGGUUUUGAUCCCAAAUGUCCAAGAUUAUUAUGUAAGAGACAUUGAUGUAGGAAUUAUAAUAAGAAGAACUAAAAUAAAAUCUGAUAAUCA